rnacentral:rRNA from 1 species
AUUGAACGCUGGCGGCAUGCUUUACACAUGCAAGUCGAACGGCAGCGCGGGCUUCGGCCUGGCGGCGAGUGGCGAACGGGUGAGUAAUGCAUCGGAACGUGCCCAGUAGUGGGGGAUAGCCCGGCGAAAGCCGGAUUAAUACCGCAUACGACCUGAGGGUGAAAGCGGGGGACCGAAAGGUCUCGCGCUAUUGGAGCGGCCGAUGUCGGAUUAGCUAGUUGGUGGGGUAAAGGCUUACCAAGGCGACGAUCCGUAGCUGGUCUGAGAGGACGACCAGCCACACUGGGACUGAGACACGGCCCAGACUCCUACGGGAGGCAGCAGUGGGGAAUUUUGGACAAUGGGGGCAACCCUGAUCCAGCCAUGCCGCGUGCGGGAAGAAGGCCUUCGGGUUGUAAACCGCUUUUGUUCGGGAAGAAAUCCUCUGGGCUAAUACCCCGGGGGGAUGACGGUACCGGAAGAAUAAGCACCGGCUAACUACGUG